rnacentral:rRNA from 1 species
UGUGUUAGUGGAAGCGUCUGGAAAGGCGCGCGAUACAGGGUGACAGCCCCGUACACAAAAGCGCAUGUGCUGUGAGCUCGAUGAGUAGGGCGGGACACGUGGUAUCCUGUCUGAAUAUGGGGGGACCAUCCUCCAAGGCUAAAUACUCCUGACUGACCGAUAGUGAACCAGUACCGUGAGGGAAAGGCGAAAAGAACCCCGGCGAGGGGAGUGAAAAAGAACCUGAAACCGUGUACGUACAAGCAGUGGGAGCACCCUUUGGGGUGUGACUGCGUACCUUUUGUAUAAUGGGUCAGCGACUUAUAUUCUGUAGCAAGGUUAACCGUAUAGGGGAGCCGUAGGGAAACCGAGUCUUAACCGGGCGUUAAGUUGCAGGGUAUAGACCCGAAACCCGGUGAUCUAGCCAUGGGCAGGUUGAAGGUUGGGUAACACUAACUGGAGGACCGAACCGACUAAUGUUGAAAAAUUAGCGGAUGACCUGUGGCUGGGGGUGAAAGGCCAAUCAAACCGGGAGAUAGCUGGUUCUCCCCGAAAGCUAUUUAGGUAGCGCCUCGUGAAUUCAUCUCCGGGGGUAGAGCACUGUUUCGGCUAGGGGGCCAUCCCGGCUUACCAACCCGAUGCAAACUGCGAAUACCGGAGAAUGUUAUCACGGGAGACACACGGCGGGUGCUAACGUCCGUCGUGAAGAGGGAAACAACCCAGACCGCCAGCUAAGGUCCCAAAGUCAUGGUUAAGUGGGAAACGAUGUGGGAAGGCCCAGACAGCCAGGAUGUUGGCUUAGAAGCAGCCAUCAUUUAAAGAAAGCGUAAUAGCUCACUGGUCGAGUCGGCCUGCGCGGAAGAUGUAACGGGGCUAAACCAUGCACCGAAGCUGCGGCAGCGACGCUGAUGCGUUGUUGGGUAGGGGAGCGUUCUGUAAGCCUGUGAAGGUGGCCUGUGAGGGUUGCUGGAGGUAUCAGAAGUGCGAAUGCUGACAUAAGUAACGAUAAAGCGGGUGAAAAGCCCGCUCGCCGGAAGACCAAGGGUUCCUGUCCAACGUUAAUCGGGGCAGGGUGAGUCGACCCCUAAGGCGAGGCCGAAAGGCGUAGUCGAUGGGAAACGGGUUAAUAUUCCCGUACUUGGUGUUACUGCGAAGGGGGGACGGAGAAGGCUAUGUUGGCCGGGCGACGGUUGUCCCGGUUUAAGCGUGUAGGUGUGUGUUCCAGGUAAAUCCGGUUCACUUUAACACUGAGGCGUGACGACGAGGCACUACGGUGCUGAAGCAACAAAUGCCCUGCUUCCAGGAAAAGCCUCUAAGCAUCAGGUAACAUCAAAUCGUACCCCAAACCGACACAGGUGGUCAGGUAGAGAAUACCAAGGCGCUUGAGAGAACUCGGGUGAAGGAACUAGGCAAAAUGGUGCCGUAACUUCGGGAGAAGGCACGCUGACACGUAGGUGAAGUGAUUUACUCAUGGAGCUGAAGUCAGUCGAAGAUACCAGCUGGCUGCAACUGUUUAUUAAAAACACAGCACUGUGCAAACACGAAAGUGGACGUAUACGGUGUGACGCCUGCCCGGUGCCGGAAGGUUAAUUGAUGGGGUCAGCGCAAGCGAAGCUCCUGAUCGAAGCCCCGGUAAACGGCGGCCGUAACUAUAACGGUCCUAAGGUAGCGAAAUUCCUUGUCGGGUAAGUUCCGACCUGCACGAAUGGCGUAAUGAUGGCCAGGCUGUCUCCACCCGAGACUCAGUGAAAUUGAACUCGCUGUGAAGAUGCAGUGUACCCGCGGCAAGACGGAAAGACCCCGUGAACCUUUACUAUAGCUUGACACUGAACAUUGAGCCUUGAUGUGUAGGAUAGGUGGGAGGCUUUGAAGUGUGGACGCCAGUCUGCAUGGAGCCGACCUUGAAAUACCACCCUUUAAUGUUUGAUGUUCUAACGUGGACCCGUUACCCGGGUUGCGGACAGUGUCUGGUGGGUAGUUUGACUGGGGCGGUCUCCUCCUAAAGAGUAACGGAGGAGCACGAAGGUUGGCUAAUCCUGGUCGGACAUCAGGAGGUUAGUGCAAUGGCAUAAGCCAGCUUGACUGCGAGCGUGACGGCGCGAGCAGGUGCGAAAGCAGGUCAUAGUGAUCCGGUGGUUCUGAAUGGAAGGGCCAUCGCUCAACGGAUAAAAGGUACUCCGGGGAUAACAGGCUGAUACCGCCCAAGAGUUCAUAUCGACGGCGGUGUUUGGCACCUCGAUGUCGGCUCAUCACAUCCUGGGGCUGAAGUAGGUCCCAAGGGUAUGGCUGUUCGCCAUUUAAAGUGGUACGCGAGCUGGGUUUAGAACGUCGUGAGACAGUUCGGUCCCUAUCUGCCGUGGGCGCUGGAGAACUGAGGGGGGCUGCUCCUAGUACGAGAGGACCGGAGUGGACGCAUCACUGGUGUUCGGGUUGUCAUGCCAAUGGCACUGCCCGGUAGCUAAAUGCGGAAGAGAUAAGUGCUGAAAGCAUCUAAGCACGAAACUUGCCCCGA